rnacentral:rRNA from 1 species
UGAGGAAUAUUGCACAAUGGGGGCAACCCUGAUGCAGCAACGCCGCGUGAGUGAUGAAGCAGUUUAUCUGUGUAAAGCUCUGUUGAUUGGGACGAAAUUUAGGGUUAGUUGCCUUAUUUGACGGUACCAGUUGAGGAAGCUCCGGCUAACUCCGUGCCAGCAGCCGCGGUAAUACGGGGGGAGCAAGCGUUGUCCGGAUUUAUUGGGCGUAAAGGGCAUGUAGGUGGUCUUUUAAGUCAGUUGUUAAAACUAUCGGCUUAACCGGUAAUUGCAAUUGAUACUGGAGGACUUGAAUCUGAGAGGGGAUAGUGGAAUAUCAAGUGUAGCGGUGGAAUGCGUAGAUAUUUGAUAGAACACCUGAGGUGAAGACGACUAUCUGGCUCAUGAUUGACACUGAGAUGCGAAAGUAUGGGGAGCAAACAGG